AGAGUUUGAUCCUGGCUCAGGAUGAACGCUGGCGGCGUGCUUAACACAUGCAAGUCGAGCGAGGGAGCACCUUCGGGUGUGAACUAGCGGCGGACGGGUGAGUAACACGUGGGCAACCUGCCUUACAGAGGGGGAUAGCCUUCCGAAAGGAAGAUUAAUACCGCAUAUUAUGAUUUUUCUGCAUGGGAAAGUCAUGAAAGGAGCAAUCCGCUGUAAGAUGGGCCCGCGGCGCAUUAGCUAGUUGGUGAGGUAAGGGCUCACCAAGGCGACGAUGCGUAGCCGACCUGAGAGGGUGAUCGGCCACAUUGGGACUGAGACACGGCCCAGACUCCUACGGGAGGCAGCAGUGGGGAAUCUUCCGCAAUGGACGAAAGUCUGACGGAGCAACGCCGCGUGAGUGAUGACGGCCUUCGGGUUGUAAAGCUCUGUUAAUCGGGACGAAAGGCCUUCUUGCGAAUAGUGAGAAGGAUUGACGGUACCGGAAUAGAAAGCCACGGCUAACUACGUGCCAGCAGCCGCGGUAAUACGUAGGUGGCAAGCGUUGUCCGGAAUUAUUGGGCGUAAAGCGCGCGCAGGCGGAUAGGUCAGUCUGUCUUAAAAGUUCGGGGCUUAACCCCGUGAUGGGAUGGAAACUGCCAAUCUAGAGUAUCGGAGAGGAAAGUGGAAUUCCUAGUGUAGCGGUGAAAUGCGUAGAUAUUAGGAAGAACACCAGUGGCGAAGGCGACUUUCUGGACGAAAACUGACGCUGAGGCGCGAAAGCCAGGGGAGCGAACGGGAUUAGAUACCCCGGUAGUCCUGGCCGUAAACGAUGGGUACUAGGUGUAGGAGGUAUCGACCCCUUCUGUGCCGGAGUUAACGCAAUAAGUACCCCGCCUGGGGAGUACGACCGCAAGGUUGAAACUCAAAGGAAUUGACGGGGGCCCG
rnacentral:rRNA from 1 species